UACGUAGGGGCCAAGCGUUGUCCGGAUUUAUUGGGCGUAAAGAGCUCGUAGGCGGUUCGGCAAGUCAGCUGUGAAAUCUCCACGCUCAACGUGGAGGGGUCAGCUGAUACUGCUGUGACUUGAGUCCGGUAGGGGAGUGUGGAAUUCCCGGUGUAGCGGUGAAAUGCGUAGAGAUCGGGAGAAACAUCAGUGGCGAAGGCGGCUCUCUAGUACGGUACUGACGCUGA
rnacentral:rRNA from 1 species